UGGGGAAUUUUGGACAAUGGGCGCAAGCCUGAUCCAGCCAUGCCGCGUGCAGGAUGAAGGCCCUCGGGUUGUAAACUGCUUUUGUACGGAACGAAAAGCCUCUUUCUAAUAAAGAGGGGUGACGACGGUACCGUAAGAAUAAGCACCGGCUAACUCCGUGCCAGCAGCCGCGGUAAUACGGAGGGUGCGAGCGUUAUCCGGAUUUACUGGGUUUAAAGGGUGCGUAGGUGGGCUUAUAAGUCAGUGGUGAAAUCUCCGAGCUUAACUUGGAAACUGCCGUUGAUACCAUAGGUCUUGAAUUAUCUGGAGGUAAGCGGAAUAUGUCAUGUAGCGGUGAAAUGCUUAGAUAUGACAUAGAACACCAAUUGCGAAGGCAGCUUACUACAUAUAGAUUGACGCUGAGGCACGAAAGCGUGGGGAUCAAACA
rnacentral:rRNA from 1 species